AAAAAUUUUCUUUAGCAAAGUACCAAUUUAGCUCGGUUAAAAAUUAUUCUGCUGCAUUCAAUUAAGACAUAUUUAAAAUAUGCAUUAAAGCUUUGCUAGUAUUAUACAAGCAAGUAUUGCUAAAUAUUCUUGGCUAUUAUUAAAAAAGUACUUAUUUAUUUCAAAAUUACCGACUCGGUCAAUAUUACCUUUACCGAAUUAGGUUCAAAAUAGACAAGCUUACGUUAUUAUUUAAUGAUAAGCAAGUUAUUUAAUUUUAGACUUAACCAUAGUUGGCUACUAUUUACACAGAGUUCGGUUAAAAAUAAACAAGCUUACAUAAUGAUUGAAUGACAAGUAAAUCAUUUAAAUUUAGACAUAAUAUUAUUUGGCUAAAAUUAAAUAACUUUCUAUGAUGCAUAUAACCGUGUUUCUUACUUAAAAACAAACAAGUAACUUAUCUAUUGGGAGAUAAGCACAGCUCGGCAAUUAACAAUGGAGCGAAUACUAUUUUUGACCGAGUAACUUGAUAAAAAUGAAACAAGGAAUUGGCUGCGUAGCCCGCAAAGUCAGCCAUUUCUAUCAAAUCAUAGUCGAGUGACGAACGUGUCUGUUGAAGCGCCGCCUCAGCACCUACAAGGCAGAUUCAAAUUUACAUUAAAAACUUUUCAUCAUCAUUUUGAAUUUUAAUCAAACUAUUAUAGAAGAGCAAGAUGCAGAAGACAAACUAUUAGGGCUCAAAAACAGCCAUGGACAAGCGUAGAACUAAAGUGGCAAGACUCUACAGAGACGAAGCUAAUUGCUGCAAAAUAGUUAACUAUAGCUCCAAUACCUCAAUACAAUGAAUAUGCGGCUCUUAAAAAACCCAAAGGAUAUCUUCUGCUAGAAAAAGAUUGUGAAAACCAAAGGACAAUAUAUCACUGAAAGCUUCCCCACAAUCAAGCCAAAAAUAUUUGAAUUAGUAAGUUACUUCUGAUCAAGCAAGA